CGUGUAGGCGGCCGACCAAGUCCGGUGUGAAAGCCCGGGGCUUAGCUCCGGAAGUGCAUCGGAAACUAGUCGGCUUGAGCGCGAUAGAGGAGGGCGGAAUUCCUGGUGUAGCGGUGAAAUGCGUAGAUAUCAGGAGGAACACCGGCGGCGAAGGCGGCCCUCUGGCUCGUUGCUGACGCUGAGACGCGAAAGCGUGGGGAGCAAACAGGAUUAGAUACCCUGGUAGUCCACGCUGUAAACGAUGGGUACUAGGUGUUCGGGGUGUUGACCCCCUGAGUGCCGACGCUAACGCAUUAAGUACCCCGCCUGGGGACUACGGCCGCAAGGUUAAA
rnacentral:rRNA from 1 species